UCUGUAGCUCAGUCGGUAGAGCAAUGGACUGAAAAUCCAUGUGUCGUUGGUUCGAUUCCGACCGGA
rnacentral:tRNA from 1 species